GCGGUCGUGGCCGAAUGGUUCAGGCGAUAGACUAAAACCCACUAGGGUCUCCCCGCACAGGUUCGAAUUCUGUCGACUGCA
rnacentral:tRNA from 1 species